AACGAACGCUGGCGGCAGGCUUAACACAUGCAAGUCGAGCGCCCCGCAAGGGGAGCGGCGGACGGGUGAGUAACGCGUGGGAACCUACCUAGAGGUGCGGAAUAACUCAGGGAAACUUGAGCUAAUACCGCAUGAGCCCGAGAGGGGAAAGAUUUAUCGCCUUUGGAUGGGCCCGCGUCAGAUUAGCUAGUUGGUGAAGUAACGGCUCACCAAGGCGACGAUCUGUAGCUGGUCUGAGAGGAUGAUCAGCCACAUUGGGACUGAGACACGGCCCAAACUCCUACGGGAGGCAGCAGUGGGGAAUAUUGGACAAUGGGCACAAGCCUGAUCCAGCCAUGCCGCGUGAGUGAUGACGGCCUUAGGGUUGUAAAGCUCUUUCGACGGGGACGAUAAUGACGGUACCCGUAGAAGAAGCCCCGGCUAACUUCGUGCCAGCCGCCGCGGUAACAC
rnacentral:rRNA from 1 species